rnacentral:piRNA from 1 species
UGGAAGAGAAGCCCACCCCUAACCUCCAA